ACAAAAGCUGGAAUAAGCACAUAAGACGAGAAGACCCUGUGGAGCUUUAAACAAACCUUAACGCACCAUCACCCUCUCCCACGGGCUAAAACAUAAGUGCACCUAACAACGUUUUAAGUUGGGGCGACUGCGGGGUAAAACAAAACCCCCAUGAAAUACGAACUAUUACAAGUAGACACACUAAUAAUAGUCGUUUUGAUCCAGUACAACUGACUAACGAACCAAGUUACCCCAGGGAUAACAGCGCAAUCCCCUUCAAGAGUCCUUAUCGCCAAGGGGGUUUACGACCUCGAUGUUGGAUCAGGACAUCCAGAUGGUGUAGCCGCUAUCAAGGGUUCGUUUGUUCAACGAUUAACAGUCCUACGUGAUCU
rnacentral:rRNA from 1 species